rnacentral:lncRNA from 1 species
GUGGGAAAAAGUUGGAGGAUGAAGGAAUUGAAAAAGAAAAGUGGGCAAUAUUAGAGAAAAUUAGGAAGACUGAAAGGCUGCAGUGUCUAGAUCAGUGCAAGCUUCAGAGAGACUUAUGGAAGAGCUCAGGGACAUAUACAGAUCACAGAGUUAUAAGACAGUGAUCUUCAGAUCUUAAAAGAAAAACAAGGGAUAGGAGACAUUUUGCUUAUCUUUUAAGUGCUCCUGACAGCAUCUCAGAGGACGGUGCCCUCUGGCUUACUCUCUGGGAAAUGCUGCUCUGUUGGAAAUCCGGAGUUCUGAGUGAUUCCCAUGUGCUUUCUGCUGCAGAGCAGGACAUGCUGAAGUGAUUCCUUCAUGAGCAGAUGUUAGAGGUCUCCUUUUGAUAGCUUAUUACAAAGGUGAUCACAAAUAUGCUAUUAUGGUGAGUGGAAAUCUCAGGUUUGGUGUGAAGCAGAGUUGUUUAGAAUUGUGUACUGUUUUAUUUUGCUACCUUUAAAGCUUCUCUAGGCUGUUU